AAAAUACUACCUCCGUCCCAAAAUUCUUGUCUUAGAUUUGUCUAGAUGUGGAUGUAUCUAAUACUAAAACUUGAGUUGAUGCAUUAGUAUUUAGACAAAUCUAAGACAAGAAUUUUGGGAUAGAGGGAGUAUAUG
rfam:Triticum aestivum genome assembly, contig: Triticum_aestivum_CS42_TGACv1_scaffold_526823_6DL